rnacentral:rRNA from 2 species
UAAUGAUGGGGGCGCUGUCUCCAGCAGAGACUCAGUGAAAUCGAAUUCGCCGUGAAGAUGCGGUGUACCCGCGGCUAGACGGAAAGACCCCGUGAACCUUUACUGCAGCUUGACAUUGAACUUUGAUCUUACUUGUGUAGGAUAGGUGGGAGGCUUUGAAGUCGCGACGCUAGUUGCGAUGGAGCCGUCCUUGAAAUACCACCCUGGUAAUAUUGAGGUUCUAACUCUGUCCCGUUAUCCGGGACGAGGACCAUGUCUGGUGGGUAGUUUGACUGGGGCGGUCUCCUCCUAAAGAGUAACGGAGGAGUACGAAGGUGCGCUCAGCGUGGUCGGAAAUCACGCGUAGAGUAUAAAGGCAAAAGCGCGCUUAACUGCGAGACCCACAAGUCGAGCAGGUACGAAAGUAGGUCUUAGUGAUCCGGUGGUUCUGUAUGGAAGGGCCAUCGCUCAACGGAUAAAAGGUACUCUGGGGAUAACAGGCUGAUACCGCCCAAGAGUUCAUAUCGACGGCGGUGUUUGGCACCUCGAUGUCGGCUCAUCUCAUCCUGGGGCUGAAGCAGGUCCCAAGGGUAUGGCUGUUCGCCAUUUAAAGAGGUACGCGAGCUGGGUUUAGAACGUCGUGAGACAGUUCGGUCCCUAUCUACCGUGGGCGUUGGAAAUUUGAGAGGAUCUGCUCCUAGUACGAGAGGACCAGAGUGGACGAACCUCUGGUGUACCGGUUGUCACGCCAGUGGCAUCGCCGGGUAGCUAUGUUCGGAAGGGAUAACCGCUGAAAGCAUCUAAGCGGGAAGCCUACCUCAAGAUAAGAUUUCCCCGAGACUUUAUGUCUCCUAAAGAGCCGUUGAAGACUACGACGUUGAUAGGUUGGAUGUGGAAGCAUAGUGAUAUGUGAAGCUGACCAAUACUAAUUGCUCGUGAG